rnacentral:rRNA from 1 species
UACGUAGGGCGCAAGCGUUGUCCGGAAUUAUUGGGCGUAAAGAGCUCGUAGGCGGCUUGUCACGUCGGGUGUGAAAGCCCGGGGCUUAACCCCGGGUCUGCAUUCGAUACGGGCUAGCUAGAGUGUGGUAGGGGAGAUCGGAAUUCCUGGUGUAGCGGUGAAAUGCGCAGAUAUCAGGAGGAACACCGGUGGCGAAGGCGGGUCUCUGGGCCGAUACUGACGCUGAGGAGCGAAAGCGUGGGUAGCAAACAGG